CUCCCAUUUGUGCCGCUCGUCUCCUUCCAUCUUCUUGGUCGACGACUCCUCCACUUCUCUUUCGCCCACGCGGUCAGACUUUCGUCCCGAUUUUUCUUCUGCCAACUGUCGGAGUUUCGUGCACCCAUCCCCGAUUUCUCUUCCGCCCACGGUUGGAGUUCCGCGUGCCCAGCCCGAUUUCUCUUCAACCCACGGUUGAAGUUUCGCGCGCCCAGGUACUUCUGCCCCAAUUUCGUCAGGCCCCUAGAAGGUAUACGCUCUUGUUUCCUCGAAAAAAUUCUGUUCAUUUGUCCUAGUCUUCCAUACUUCACUUUAAUGGGUUAAUGUGUUGUUUCUAAUGUUCAACAAAGCAUCUGUGUCCAUUUAAAUGUUGUAGUGACGUUUAUGUAAUAUUCAUUCUUCUAUAAAUGCUAUCUGAAACACAAUGAGUGUAGGAUUUUUAUUCACUGAAGAUGUUUGAAUAUUGGUACGAAUACUAUUGAGAAGAAGAGUUUAUUUACAAAAGAUCGUUGUGUAGAGUCAUGCUGUGUGCUUCUUUCGAUUGUGUUGAGGGUUUUGGGGAAGAACUCUAUUGGACAUGUUGUGGUAUUGCUGGUUCCUUUACUUUGUUUGUUGUCUGCACCUUGUGUGUGCUUAGUAAUAUCAGACUUCUUGAUAAUAAAUUAGUAUAUUGAUAUAUGAAGUCCCAAAAGCCAAUUUCAAAUUAAAAUCUUGCAUUUUUCUGGUACAGACCUUAAGAGUGGAAGUAAAUGAUUGGUAGAAAAUUUUUGGCUUGAAAUGUAUCACCGUCUGAAUAAUUCCACAAUAACGUUUUAUGGAACUGGAUCCAAGUAUCUAAUGAGUAUUGAGGCUCUGUUGGUAAGUAGGCUUGAACACAUAGAAGAGAUGUGCAAGAUAAUUGGCACAAAGAAUCCCUUCCAUUGGAAUCUAAUUUUUAGAAGAAAGCUUGAAGAUAUAAACUCUCUUAUUUUCUUUAUUUCUUGCCAAAAAUCUCCAUCUAAAGACAAGAAUACGAAGUGUGGAUAGCAACAGUAUCAUUCGUUGGAAAUCUCUCCAUCUGGCCAAUUUUCUCAAUCUCUGUCAUUCCUGAACACAUGAGAAUGCAUCAGAAUUUCCAGUUUCUCCCGAUGGACAUAUCCUUAGCAAAGAGCAUUGGAGAACACAAAUAAUAUUUUACUUCAUUGAAAAUUUGCAAUUUCUCUAUAGGGCAACUUUCUUUAUAAAUUCAACAUCUCUUGUAUGAUACUUCUCUCCUCUCUCUUGUAUGGUACUUCUCUCCUCUAGCCUAAGUGUGAUGUAAUUUUAAAAUUUUGGGUUAACUUAUUAUGUGUCUUGAACAAUUGAUGAGACCUAGUUGUGCUUCUUUCGAUUUAAGUGCUUGUUUCAUACAUAUAUUGAUAUAUAAAGUCCAAGACCUAAAUGUGCUUUGACAAGUUUAUUGUAUUCAUGGAUUUGACUUGAUUUGGUUCUUGCAGGAAAGGUCAUAGCAUCGUGCUGUUAUUGAACGUUUCACUUUUUAGAACAUAAUGUUCCAAUGUUUUAGUUUACGUUGGGUACUGGGUAGCUCUAUUAUGUUAAUCUAAUUGUCUUUUUUCUUUUGUGUUUGUUGUUUAUGAGGUGAGUUUUGUCCGACUGCAAAAUAAUCUAAUGAAAAACGCUAUCAAAUGUUUUUAUAGCAAUGUAUAUAAGUUAUAUCUUCAUACUCUACGAUAGCACUCAUUAUAGUUUCGAAAAAACGCAAUAAAAAGCUCAAACUUUUAAUUACAUGGGUUGUCAGGACUAUGGAAAAAUGCUAUAAAAAGUCUAUUAUAACCUUUUUCAUUAGCUAUUGUAUAUGUUAUUUCUUGUAGCGUGGUGUGAAUCUAUUCCUAGAUAUGUUACUGAUAUGCCAUUUUUUAUUUUGCCAUUAGCUGGAUAAUUAAACCCUAUUUGUCUUGCUGUUACUCCCAGGCAGGGAAGUGUAACAUGGAGUAACGAUGCAGAACGUAUAUUUUUAGGAGUAGUGAUGGGUAUGUACAUGUACCACCAAUUGUUACUUGCAAUGAAAAUCAAUAUAAUGUACUAAUUACUAUGAACAUGAUCUUCUCCAAUUUCGUUGCUAAAUUAUAGUUACUCCAUGUUUGUGCAUUCCUCACCCUGCUUGCGCUAAUUUUGUUGCUAAAUUACAGUUACUCUUACUUGUCUUUUGCCAAAUGCAUAAUCAAGAUCACUAUGGUGAGGAUUAUUCAUAGUCCUCUGCACUAAGGUGAGGAUUAUUCAUUGAUCACCAUGUUCUUAUAUCUAUUUAUUUCUUACAAUUUUUUUUGUUUGUUUCCCUUUAGCUUCAUUGCCCAUAUGAAUUGAAUUUGAUAAGGUAUGUAUUUAUGCUGUUGGGUAAGAAAUAACCAGAUUGUCCCUGACUUUGUUAUUGUUUUUUGUUGGUGUACUGUAUUGAUAAGGAUGUGUGCUUCAAACUUGGAGUCUUCAUCCAAAGAUAAGGGGGUUCUUUCAUGGUUACUCGUUUUUUACAGUUCUCAUGAUCCUAAAUCAUGCCUUUAGGUAUUAAACAAUUGCACACUUAGAGUUAUUAGCAUCAAUAGUAGAUCUUAUCUUAGGUUGACUUUAUGGAAGUCUUUGUUAUUUAGUCAAUUAAGUCUUGUGGGUUUGUGCGAUAGUGUGGAAAUAUACACUAUAAAAAUAGCACCAAGCCUAUUUUCUUAAUUUUCUUAUAUCUAGAAAAAUAUGGCGACAACAUUUGUUUUUCCAGUGGCAUUGCUGGAUUUAUGAUGUUGAAGUAUGCAGAUAAUAUUGUGAAGGUAUUGCUUAUUACAACUACAA